UACGUAGGAGGCAAGCGUUGUCCGGAAUUACUGGGCGUAAAGCGCGUGUAGGUGGUGGGACAAGUCUGCUGUGAAAGCGCCUGGCUUAACCGGGCGAGGUCGGCGGAAACUGCCUCACUUGAGGACGGUAGAGGGGGGGUGGAAUUCCCGGUGUAGUGGUGAAAUGCGUAGAGAUCGGGAGGAACACCUGUGGCGAAGGCGGCCCCCCUGGGCCGGCCCUGACACUGAGACGCGAAGGCGUGGGGAGCGAACGGGG
rnacentral:rRNA from 1 species